rnacentral:rRNA from 1 species
GACGAGGGAUGCAAGCGUUAUCCGGAUUCAUUGGGUUUAAAGGGAGCGUAGGCGGAUUUGUAAGUCAGUGGUGAAAUCUCCGGGCUCAACCCGGAAACUGCCAUUGAUACUGCAGGUCUAGAGUACAGUUGCCGUUGGCGGAAUAUGACAUGUAGUGGUGAAAUACUUAGAUAUGUCAUAGAACACCGAUUGCGAAGGCAGCUAACGAAACUGUAACUGACGCUGAGGCUCGAAAGUGCGGGGAUCAAACAGG